UGCUCUUCUCUUCAUCUUCAAUUCCAUCUCCUCUCAUCGCCGAUGGUGCACUGUUUCUCUGGUGGCAUUCUAUAGCUCCAAUGUGGUAAGCUCUUUAUUUUUAAUUAAAGGUGGGUCAAACCAAUAAAUAAAAUGAAAAUCGGUAUAUAUGUACAAGCAUGGGCCAGAUCCAAAAGUAAGCAACCCAAAGGAAUAAAAAUCCAUAAAACCAAUUGAAAAAAAACAACAAAAAGCAAAUAAUAAGGUAAAAAGACAAAGAAAAGGCCAAGGUCACUAAAGAGACUCAUUUUAGAAAUAUCUAUCAUUUUCUCAAAGCCUCUUUAUUUCUAGAUUGCGUCGAUCUCUCUUCUUCUUCCAAUGUGUCAAUCUUGUCUCUUCUGAUCUCUAAUAAUGAAAAUCUUGAUCUCGGAGCUAAGCUUCCACAAUUUUUGUUCCUGUGUUCAAUUUCAGUACUAUCUGAAGCUCUCAUCGUCCUCAUUCUUUCAACAUACCUUGGAGAUGCAGAUCCAUGCUCCUAUUGUCUAGAUCCCAGUAUCUUCUUGACCCUCAAGAUCUGUUUCUCCGACCGUCAUUCGAACAGGUUAUAUAAAGGUGAUUAUUCAACAAGGAAAGUGUAUGAGGGAGGAACAAAGGAGAUUGCUCUUUCUGUUGUUAGCGGAAUCUCCUACAAUUGAAAAUUAAGCUCGUGAGUUUAUAGGGAAGAAUAACAAAACAACUCUUUCUGCUAGUGUGAAUUUUGUUGAUCUGGCUGGAAGUGAACGUGCAUCUCAGGCGCUGUCAAUUGGAAAGAGACUGAAAGAAGGAUGUCAUAUUAAUCGUAGUUUGUUGACUUUAGGAACAGUUAUUCACAAGCUAAGGUUGAUUGUUUGUUUCUUACAUCAUCUUUCUAAAACAUCUGGAUUUGCUGCAGCUUAGCUACAUGUCUAAAUGGUCUUUAAACAUCAAUUCAGUUUUACUGUCCAUAUAACAAAUUGGGGAUUUUUUUUCUUUUUCAUUCGUCUAAUUAGUAAAAAUAAACUUUAUGGUGUUGAAUAGUGUUGCUAUGUGAAUUGUGUUUAUGUUUAACAGUA